rnacentral:rRNA from 1 species
GACGAACGCUGGCGGCGUGCUCAACACAUGCAAGUCGAACGGGCAACGAGGGAGCUUGCUUCCUCCGGAUCAGAGGCGAAAGGGUGAGUAACACGUGAGCAAUCUGCCCCGAACUCUGGGAUAAGCGUUGGAAACGACGUCUAAUACCGGAUACGACGCGGGACGGCAUCCUCUCCGCGUGGAAAGAACUUCGCUUCGGGAUGAGCUCGCGGCCUAUCAGCUUGUUGGUGAGGUAACGGCUCACCAAGGCGACGACGGGUAGCCGGCCUGAGAGGAUGACCGGCCACACUGGGACUGAGGCACGGCCCAGACUCCUACGGGAGACAGCAGUGGAGAAUAUUGUACAAUGAGCGCAAGCCUGAUGCAGCAACGCCGCGUGAGGGACAACGGCCUUCGGGUUGUAAACCUCUUUUAGCAGGGAAGAAGCGAAAGUGACGGUACCUGCAGAAAAAGCACCGGCUAACUACGUG